rnacentral:rRNA from 1 species
GAUGAACGCUAGCGGCAGGCUUAAUACAUGCAAGUCGAGGGACAGCACAGGUAGCAAUACUGGGUGGUAACCGGCAAACGGGUGCGGAACACGUACACAACCUUCCUUUAAGUGGGGGAUAGCCCAGAGAAAUUUGGAUUAAUACCCCGUAAUAUAGUUGAAUGGCAUCAUUUGAUUAUUAUAGCUACGGCGCUUAAUGAUGGGUGUGCGGCUGAUUAGAUAGUUGGCGGGGUAACGGCCCACCAAGUCUACGAUCAGUAGCUGAUGUGAGAGCAUGAUCAGCCACACGGGCACUGAGACACGGGCCCGACUCCUACGGGAGGCAGCAGUAAGGAAUAUUGGUCAAUGGACGCAAGUCUGAACCAGCCAUGCCGCGUGAGGGAUUAAGGUCCUCUGGAUUGUAAACUUCUUUUAUUUGGGACGAAAAAGGGCCUUUCUAGGUCAACUGACGGUACCAGAAGAAUAAGCACCGGCUAACCCCGUGCCAGCCGCCGCCGUAACAC